GAGAAGGUCUGAACACCUGCCCUGUCCGGGAUUUCCUCUCCCCCUUCCCAGGCCCGGACAACGCCGCGGGAGCGCCAGGGGGGCCCAGGCAACCCGGACCCCAAGCCCCACCGAGUCACGGAGCUGCACCCGGGCGCGGCGGGCAGGUGCGCGCCCCGCUGUGCGCCAGAGCCCGGGGCCGUGAUCCAGCAGCCAAACCGAGUGACUGCGUGUCUUUGUGGGGUCAGGAGUGUCCCCAUCGCAGCCUCGGACAUCAGGAUGGAUCAGAAGUCCCACCCGCUACCCCCCGUUGCACGGGGACUCUCCUUCCCGACAUGCCUACCAGCCACUCAGUUUGGCUAUCUGGGCACUCAAGAGCAUGGGCAG